rnacentral:rRNA from 1 species
AGUGAACGCUGGCGGCGUGCUUAACACAUGCAAGUCGAACGAGAACGGAUUAUAGCUUGCUAUAAUUGUCAGCUAAGUGGCGCACGGGUGAGUAAUGUAUAGGUAAUAUGCCUCUUACUAAGGGAUAACAAUUGGAAACGAUUGCUAAUACCUUAUAUUCCUUUUUAUCAAAAGAUAAAAAGGGAAAGAUUUAUUGGUAAGAGAUUAGCCUGUAUUGUAUCAGUUAGUUGGUGGGAUAAUGGCCUACCAAGACGAUGACGCAUAACUGGUUUGAGAGGAUGAUCAGUCACACUGGAACUGAGACACGGUCCAGACUCCUACGGGAGGCAGCAGUGGGGAAUAUUGCACAAUGGACGAAAGUCUGAUGCAGCAACGCCGCGUGGAGGAUGACACAUUUCGGUGCGUAAACUCCUUUUAUAUAAGAAGAUAAUGACGGUAUUAUAUGAAUAAGCACCGGCUAACUCCGUGCCAGCAGCCGCCGUAA